GGUAAACUUCCCCAUCCUACAUCCCCGCCCCGGCAGUCACUUCAGUCCGUGACAGCAACCUGAACCUGACCUUGCAGAGAGGUGAUGGCUCAUCACUCCCAUAAGUGAUUUACUGAUUCAAAAUAGCUGUGGCACCACUGCCGCUCUUGAAGGGAGCUCUUUCCAUUCCACUGGGCGUAUAUUGUCUUUUAAAAAGAAAAAAGGGGGGAAAAAAGCUAAGGGUGGCAAGUACGACUCAAAUAUGAAACAAGACGAACGUGCAAGUUCAGGCGUUCCUGGCUGGGUGGCAAAGUACAGCCGGCAGCUCUACCCAGUGACACGGUGGUGCUGUCAAGCUGCAGUUCUCCACGUAGGGAGAGGCUGCCGUCCUCCGCCAUCUCACCUGUGCGCUGCUUGUCCUGGUUUCGCACAUCACCCGUGGUUCAGCAGCGUGGGUUAAAAUGGAAAAUGUGGCAGUGCUAACGAGUUGCCAGUAAGCUGAAUUUGGAUGGUAUCACAGGGAAGGAGACUGGAGGCACCAAUUGUAGAGUGGAAAAUUUCCUGGUCUAUCCCUAAAUCCGCAAACGGUUAUAAAACAGUCUGAAAAGGGUAUCAAGCAUGUAAAAAAAAAAAAUUCAAAACCUUUUGAUCUCUUAGUCUGUAUGAAUCCCUGACCUUUACACUUAUUAACAAUAUAGAUUUCUUGUCAUUAGUAAGACAAUGUGGUUGAUUUUUGUUAUUUUUCCAGACUCUUGUUUUUACGAUUUUGGACAUUUUUCUAGAAGGUCUUUAUUUGUGCCCACUGAGGUACCAGAUGUGGUUAUGUCUAAUUUGCCUUCAGAAGGACACCGUGUGAAGCAUGCCCAGCCACUGAUCUCCCCUUGCACGGACAGAGACACUGGAAACCAGUCCCAGCCCAGCACCCUGCCCGUGGUGUUUCAGCUGCAUGUGCUUAGAUGAUGAACACCCUUAUCUGAUGACUGCAAAGAACAGCUGCGAUGGUUGCUUCCAUUCUGCUUAAGCUUCUCAUUGCUGUUAAGGGACUUUACUUCACAAGAACCCUGUGAUGUAGAGAAAGUAUUAUUCUCCCCACUUUCCAGAUGAGAAAUUGCAGCAUAAAGAGGCAGUAUUGUUUGCCUCAGGUCAUACAUGUAGUGUGUGGUAAAACCAGAAAUUUAAUCCAAAGUUUGGGUAGAGAUCUAACCACAAGUUCCUUUUCUUUCUCAAGCUCUAUGUCUCAGGACUCCUCUCCUGAAAAAUUCUUGGGUGAAGGAGCAAAGCAAUAUUGAAGAAGACACACUAACAGAAAUUCUGUUGAGCUUGUGCAAAAAAAAGUGUUGUUAAAUGCAAAUGUUGCAAGUAGGCAUAUUUACACAGAGAACUUCUGCAGAAACAUUAUCCUGAUUUGAAAUUCCUCUCAAGGAACAACGAUGUGUCAAGUGCAUGCAUCCACAAUCAUCUGUGUUAGAUGGUUCUGGUACAUCUUCAGAGUUUCGGGCAUCUCCCCUGCCACGUGUCUUAACGGACACUAGAGUGCCCACAGGCACGUUGCGUAGCCCAGUAGCAUGAACCUGUAAGAAGCCAAGCCCUCCAGGUCCAGCAUUACGAAAGCACAUGCCAAAUACAUGUCAGAAGACAGUCAUGUGCCAGGCUGCUUCUGGCAGCAAUGUUGCCACAGGCAAGGAACCAGGUGUAUGGUCUGUUAAUGUGGCUCAGCUAACAGGAGGCAACGUGUUACACUUUGCUCAGUCGAUUGCAAGGAAGGAAGGGUCUGUUCAUGGCCAAGGCUGAAGAACAGGCAGAAGUUUCACCUGGAAGUCCCAGCAAACUCUCUGAAUCUGCAUGUGUUUUGGAUACAAGCCCCUCUACAUGGCCUGGUAACUGUCCAUGUGGAAGCUGAUGCACCAUACCCCCUCCCUUAUGGCUUUAUAGGUAGCAUAUGUCUUUUUCUGAAUUAGAUCCAGAGACCUGAAACACAAGCUGAGGUGCUCUUUCACCAAGUAGCGUGAGGCAGAUUUACCACUCACCGAGAAAGUGUGGGGAGAAUGGAAAAGAAUGUGUGUCCUCUUGACUCAGUCACUUCUCACUCAACAUGUAAAGACCUGAACUUGGCAAACUAGCUCAGAGUUUUUCUGCAUAAUAAAAAGAAGAUCCUUGAACAGAAGAAGCUCACCAAAAGAAAAUCCAGAGGGAUUUUCUCAGAUAAUAGUACUAAUAAUAGUCAGAAAUAAUAAUUUUCUGACAGAAAUGCAACCCCACAAACAAUGGCGGUUUUUUACACUUGCAAGAACCAGGGCUGGUAGUUAGGUUUCUAAUAUAUUUUCUGUAACUUCCCUUAAUUUUGAUUCUGUGCAUGUACAUGGCUUUGGAAAGUCGUAAUUAUUUAACAUGCAUCUCUGUUUCCUCUCUCACCCUCUGGCUGUCUGGUCUGUUUAGGUUGCAUAUUUCUGUUAUGUUUGUGCUCUGUUUGCACAUUGCCCGGUAUUAAGCAACUCCCAAUUUGUUUGGCUUCUCUACUUGCUAUUGUGAUACAAAUAAUAAAUAAUUCUACACUUUUAAA